CACCUGCGCCACAAGUGGCAAUCGUUAUUAUUGGGCCUAAAGCGUCCGUAGCAGGUCUUGUAAAUCUCAUGUGAAAUUGUUGCGCUCAACGUAACAGCGUGCAAGAGACACUGCGAGACUAGGGACCGGGAGGAGUCAGAGGUAUUCAAUGGGGAGCGGUAAAAUGCUAUAAUCCAUUGAGGACCACCUAUGGCGAAGGCAUCUGACCAGAACGGAUCCGACUGUGAGGGACGAAAGCUAGGGGAGCGAACCGGAUUAGAUACUUUGGAUUUUCUGCAUAGCGACGAUAAGAAAACAGAUACACGUUCGUGUUAACUCAUACUGUGAAUCUGUCAACAGAGACAAUAAAUGGAAAUUCAGGGCUAAUUACCCGAGUAGUCCUAGCUGUAAACGCUGCGAGCUAGGUGUUGCGCAAUCUUCGAGAUUGCGCAGUAUCGAAGCGAAGGCGAUAAGCUCGCCGCCUGGGAAGUACGGUCGCAAGGCUGAAACUUAAAGGAAUUGGCGGGGGAGCACUACAAGGGGUGCGGCGUGCGGUUUAAUCUAACUCCACUCAGAGAAUCUCACCAGAAGCGACGGCACUAUGAAAGUCAGAUUAAAGGUUUUACUUGAGGAGCCGAGAGGUGGUGCAUGGCCGCCGUCAGCUCGUGCCGUGAGGUGUCCAGCUAAGCCUGGUAACGAGCGAGACCUGCGUCUACAAUUGCUAACGGAUGCUUUAGCAUGACUGAGCACAUUGUAGGGACUGCCUUGGAAACGAGGAGGAAGGUGCAGGCUACGGUAGGUCUGUAUGCCCCGAAUCUUCUGGGCUACACGCGCGCAACAAUGGUAAGGACAAUGGGAUACGACUCCGAAAGGAGAAGUUAAUCCUCCAAACCUUAUCCAAGUCCAGAUUGAGGGUUGUAACCCACCCUCAUGACGCUGGAAUCCCUAGUAAUCGGGUGUUAUCAGCGCCCGGUGAAUACGUCCCUGCUCCU
rnacentral:rRNA from 1 species